CCUACGGUGUGCAGCAGUGAGGAAUAUUGGUCAAUGGGCGGGAGCCUGAACCAGCCAAGCCGCGUGAGGGAAGAAGGUACAGCGUAUCGUAAACCUCUUUUGUCAGGGAACAAAGGCGGGGACUAGUCCCCGGAUGAGGGUACCUGAAGAAAAAGCAUCGGCCAACUCCGUGCCAGCAGCCGCGGUAAUACGGAGGAGGCGAGCGUUAUCCGGAUUGAGUGGGGUAAAAGGGUGCGCAGGGGGCCGGUUAAGUCAGCGGUAAAAGCCCGGGGCUCAACCCCGGCGAGCCGUUGAAACUGGCGGGCUGGAGUUGGAGAGAAGUACAGGGAAUGCGCGGUGUAGCGGUGAAAUGCUUAGAUAUCGCGCAGAACCCCGAUUGCGAAGGCAGCGUACCGGCUCCACACUGACGCUGAGGCACGAAAGCGUGGGUAUCGAACAGGAUUAGAUACCCGGGUAGUC
rnacentral:rRNA from 1 species